UGGGGAAUUUUGGACAAUGGGGGAAACCCUGAUCCAGCAACGCCGCGUGCGGGAAGAAGGCCUUCGGGUUGUAAACCGCUUUUGUUGGGGACGAAGCAACUUGGGUUAAUACCCCGAGCGAAUGACGGUACCCAAAGAAUAAGCACCGGCUAACUACGUGCCAGCAGCCGCGGUAAUACGUAGGGUGCGAGCGUUAAUCGGAAUUACUGGGCGUAAAGCGUGCGCAGGCUGUUGCGUAAGACAGAUGUGAAAUCCCCGGGCUUAACCUUGGAAUUGCAUUUGUGACUGCGCGGCUAGAGUGCGGCAGAGGGGGAUGGAAUUCCGCGUGUAGCAGUGAAAUGCGUAGAUAUGCGGAGGAACACCGAUGGCGAAGGCAAUCCCCUGGGCCUGCACUGACGCU
rnacentral:rRNA from 1 species